ACUAAUUAAGUUUGAUUUUAAUAGAAAAUAAUCAGAUUAAAAAGAUAAAAAUCUUUAUGAGAUAAGGACUAGUCAUUUUAGGUUGAUUGGUUCUUGAUUUGGAAUCAAAAAAGAUUUAUAUAAAGAGAUAGUCUCUUAAGAUUUUAGAGAAUUAUUUUAUUGAUUAAAAAUCAGAUCUCUCUCUCCUCUCCAUGCCUCACCCUCUCUCCCUCUUCUCUUUUCCACACUCAAGGGUUGGGCGUCCAUCAUCCACAUGCCUAAGUUGAGAAGGGUCUCUUUUACUGCAAAGAAUGAGAAGAAAAAGGCUGUAGUUCAAAGGUUAAGGUUACAGUCAAGAUCGAUUAUUGAUCAAAGUUCAAAGAGGCUAAGAUCCCACUUAAAGAAGAAGGAUCUACUAUGAGAAGAAGGAUUCAAGAUUGAUCCCAGUGGAUACCUGAUGUGUCUUAAAUUUAUCGCAAGCGCAUGGUGUACAAUGUAGCACGUCUGACGAGUACAGGUCAAUCCUAUGAGAAAUUGAAUUUUAAACUGUAUUCAAAUACUUGCUCAGACGAGCUUUAAAGAAAAAGAGGAG
rnacentral:lncRNA from 1 species